GAUGAACGCUAGCGGGAGGCCUAACACAUGCAAGCCGAGCGGUAGAAAGUAGCUUGCUACUUUUGAGAGCGGCGUACGGGUGCGGAACACGUGUGCAACCUGCCUUUAUCUGGGGAAUAGCCUUUCGAAAGGAAGAUUAAUGCCCCAUAACAUAUUGAUUGGCAUCAAUUAAUAUUGAAAGCUCCGGCGGAUAGAGAUGGGCACGCGCAAGAUUAGCUAGUUGGUGAGGUAAUGGCUCACCAAGGCGAUGAUCUUUAGGGGGCCUGAGAGGGUGAUCCCCCACACUGGUACUGAGACACGGACCAGACUCCUACGGGAGGCAGCAGUGAGGAAUAUUGGACAAUGGGUGCAAGCCUGAUCCAGCCAUCCCGCGUGAAGGAUGACGGCCCUAUGGGUUGUAAACUUCUUUUAUACAGGGAUAAACCUACUUACGUGUAAGUAGCUGAAGGUACUGUAUGAAUAAGCACCGGCUAACUCCGUG
rnacentral:rRNA from 1 species